GGUGAAGUGGCUGAUAAAGGUGAUAGACUGUAAAUCUAUUAAUGAGGGAGUACCUCCUUCACCA
rnacentral:tRNA from 1 species